CUACGUGCCAGCAGCCGCGGUAAUACGUAGGUCUCAAGCGUUAUCCGGAUUUACUGGGCGUAAAGUGUCCGUAGUCUGAUCUGUAAGUCUGUUUUCAAAUCCUACGACUCAAUCGUAGAAAGGGAAUGGAUACUGCAGAUCUAGAAGUAUCUAGGGGUUAGUGGAAUUUCCGGUGGAGCGGUGAAAUGCGUUGAUAUCGGAAGGAACGCCGAAAGCGAAAGCAGCUAACUAUAGAAUACUUGACGAUGAGGGACGACAGUUUGGGGAGCAAACAGGAUUAGAUACCCUGGUAGUCCAAACCGUAAAUUAUGCUUGCUAGAUGUUUUUAUCAGUUUACUGGUAGGAGUGUCGUAAUCUAACGAGUUAAGCAAGCCGCCUGGGUAGUAUAUUCGCAAGAAUGAAACUCAAAGGGAUAGGCGGGGGAACACACAAGCAGUGGAUUAUCUAGAUUAAUUGGAUAAUAAGCCAAGAAUCUUACCUAGGAUUGACAU
rnacentral:rRNA from 1 species